rnacentral:lncRNA from 1 species
AUACUUUCCAGUUCUUACACUCUGAUAUGCAUCCCUUUUAUUAAAAAAAAAAUGCUAAUAAAAGGCAGUGUACUUAAACUGUGCUUUGCAACUAUUAUGUAUGUUAUGAAUGACUACAGUCACUGGGCAAAUUAUUUGUAGAAUGAUUAUCCUUUAGCUAGAAAAAAGUCAUUGCAAGUCUUGGGCAGAAAUGUUUCUUUUUAAUGUUAAUCAAGGGGAAGUGAUUUGAAUAUGCAUGCAUGUAGCAGUCAGGAUGAUUUAGGUUUUUUUUUUUUUUUUGGUGAGAGAAAAGACUCAAAAGGCAAGACUUAGUUUUUCUCUGGGAAUCUCAACUCAUCUUGAUACUUGUAUGGUACAAGAAAUGUACAUUUUUCACUUCAAAAUUUAAAUGAGUUUUGCCCAAGGAAUCUGAGAAAUAAAACAAAUAAGUUGCUCUAUUUUCAAGUAGUCAUUCAAUAUAAAUAUAUUAUAUCAUUCUUAACUUUUUUAUUCUCUGAUAUGGUUAAUGAUAUGUAUAUUCUUACUUUUUCUCCUAAUGGGCAUAUGUAUCUUUGUGGACACUUUGGAGAGAGGUUUUCUUGGACUCUCCCAUUUAUAGAAUCUUUAUACUCUUUUACUGCGAGGUCCUCUGCUUUUAACAGAUUUCUGAGGCAACUAUAUUUGUGCUUUUUUCUUACGUAGGAAGACCAGCGAAAAUAGUUUACUGAGUUGUCGAUUUUAUCAGUAGAUAAGAAACUUUCUUUAUUACAGUUUCAGGGAAGAUUUUUUCAGGAUAUUUCUCAGUUAUUCUAAGGGCCAAAUUUUAUAAAAUUUCCAUUAGGAAUGUCAGUUUCCAAUACCCUUUGUAUAGCCUACGGCCUGUGGGGAUAACACGAAUGAGCCUUACGUGUCCUAACACAGGAAUUUACAAGUUCCCAAAGCAACCGUCUCCACGUCAUAACUCCUGACAUGCUUUUCUGAGAUUGGGCUUAUUUUAAUUACCGAUUCUUUCUCACUGUUCAUUCUAUUUGAUUUAUUCCACCGAGUCCCCUUUGAUUUGAUGAUCUGAAAAAUUCUGCUCUUUGAUAACAACUCAGGUUUUGGGUUUCCUCCCCCCUUUCUGUGGAGCCUGUGUUUUCCAACCACAAUAAAAGUUAAACCGAAUGUAAGAGACCACACUCUCUUCCAUUUUCCUUACUGCUGGCUUUUUUUCUUGAUUUUAACAUACCUUCAUUGUUUUCCAUUGUAUUUUUUUAACACUACCUAUAUCCAUUAGCUGCCUAAUUAGUUUAUCUAUUCCAUGUGGAUGCAGUGAGUUUAUAAGAGAAUUUCACAAACAAGUAGUUUUUUAGUGAACUUAAAAUAAACAGAAUUUUAAAGGAGACCUAUUUUUAUACUCAAGAAAAGCACAAAAGUGCAGAAAGUAUAAAAUGGCUUACAAAGGGAAACAUAAGUUCAUAAUGUUCAUGUAUAAAAGUAAUAAUUUUAUCGGUAGAGAGAUUCUUUCCAGACCCAGUACCUCUGUCGGUGCACACUAUC